rnacentral:snRNA from 2 species
GUCCCAUCGGGGACAUCCAAUAAAAUUGGAACGAGAAGAUUAGCAUGGCCCCUGAGCAAGGAUGACACUCACAAAUUGAAAAAUGGUCCAAAUUAAC